rnacentral:hammerhead_ribozyme from 1 species
AUCCAGCUGACGAGUCCCAAAAUAGGACGAAACUCGCGUCCUGGAU